rnacentral:rRNA from 1 species
UGGGGAAUAUUGCACAAUGUGGGAAACCCUGAUGCAGCGACGCCGCGUGAACGAAGAAGGUAUUCGUAUCGUAAAGUUCUGUCCUAUGGGAAGAUAAUGACAGUACCAUAGAAGAAAGCUCCGGCUAAAUACGUGCCAGCAGCCGCGGUAAUACGUAUGGAGCGAGCGUUGUCCGGAAUUAUUGGGCGUAAAGGGUACGCAGGCGGUUUAAUAAGUCGAAUGUUAAAGAUCGGGGCUCAACCCCGUAAAGCAUUGGAAACUGAUAAACUUGAGUAGUGGAGAGGAAAGUGGAAUUCCUAGUGUAGUGGUGAAAUACGUAGAGAUUAGGAGGAAUACCAGUAGCGAAGGCGACUUUCUGGACACAAACUGACGCUGAGGUACGAAAGCGUGGGGAGCAAACAGG